AUCGCUCUUAUAUGAGAUUAACAGAAAAGGAAGAUGAAACGUUGCCCAUAGAUAUAGUUCUUCAGACCCUGUUAGCCUUUGCAGUUACCUGCUAUGGGAUAGUACAUAUCGCAGGAGAAUUUAAAGACAUGGAUGCCACUUCAGAACUAAAAAAUAAGACGUUUGACACAUUAAGGAACCAUCCGUCUUUUUAUGUAUUUAAUCAUCGUGGUAGAGUAUUGUUCCAGUCCCCAGACACAGUGAAUUCUUCUUCAAACCAAGAUGCUUUGUCAUCCAGCUCGUCACUGAAAUUUCGAAAACUUGAACCUCUGCGCCGCUAAGACUUUUACAGAUUAUAGUAAUAAUCCAGGACACUGAGAUGUAAUAUUCAAGUCGGGGAUGUAAACACUUUUUUAAUUUCUGGAGCAGUAUUUAUAUUGAUCUUCCAGACUUUAUAAAGUAUAUAUAUAUAAACUAAGGACCUUCUUUGUACACUGUUAAUGAAAAUGACUGAAUUGUGAAUUGGCAAUGCAGUGUAAAUUAUUCUACAGUUAUGCUGUGAAACACAUCUUCAAAUUUUCAUAUAUUAAAACAAGUUGCAGCUGAGUUAACUUCAGUUAAAACAAAAAGCAAGCUAGUUUUUACUGCAGUUAAUGUUCUUUGACAAGAGGGAAUGUUCGAGUGCUAUUUAUUUUCUCAGUUUGCUUGCACUACAGUUUAUGGAACUCCUUCAGAAAUCCUGUGUGCACUGCAUCACUUAACAGCAGAAAAAGGGGCAGCGUCUCCUGUUCCUAGAAUGCCUAGGAGACCUGCAUGGUGUAGGCACGGGAAGUCAAAAAGAUUGCUUUCAUUUUUAUUUUUUUACAAUGCUGAAAAAUAGUUGUGUGAAGGGUUUGGUUGGUUGUUUUUUUUUUUCCUAGUUUUUCAUUAUCACGUUAUCUCCUUGUUGCCCUCCUUCGUUUAAAUGUAAACUGCCCUAUGUUGCCCCAAGUUGCCUGGGAUGUGGCUGUACAUUUGGUGCCUGUGGGGGGGAGGCAGCUCACGUCUGAUCACGUAGAUAAUCUGCCAUGCUCAGCUUGUUUACCCACUGUAUUUGUGUUCUCUUUGGUUGUGAAUACGGGAACGUUCAUCGGAUGGCCGAGUGCUGCGUUGGCACCAGACACAAGUUCCCGAGUCAUCUCCUACGAGAAGUAUUUUGCUGUCAGUAAGAAAUACCCAUUCUGUCAGUGGUCCAGGGGUAGGGUCCAGCAGCUAGGUCUGUUUGCUGGCACUAGCACAGUACAGGUGAUCAACCGGUCAUGGUACAACUACCCCCUUUUCUGCCGACAGAGCCUUUCAAUUUGAUUUCUUUUUUCCAGCUGAGCCCUUCGUUGAUUUAAGAUUACUGUCCUGAUUUCAUGAUGAUACAGUCCAUAACUCUUACUGACGCCUAAAUUCUGAUCUCCCCUUAGGGGCUGAAUCAAUGCUAAAAUUUCUCACGGUCUGGCAUUUCACCUACCUGACGUAGCAAAGGGAUGGUAGUUCGAGAUACUGAUGGGGCCAGCUAGAAUUUUGCCUAGUCUGAGGAUGUCUCACUGCCGCUGUGGAAAUUCAGCCUUUUGUCCUAGCAUCUGUUUUUUUUUAAACUCUUAAGAACUGUCAAAGGCAAAAAGCUUAGCAAAAAUCCUAUGUAAACCGAAGCCUCUUUUUCUAGCUCUGCCCGUCCUAUGGAGUGGGUGCCCCAGUGCUAGAGCAAUAUCUGUAGCUGCUGCUCUACAAUCACUCUUAAGCAUCUGGGUUUGGUUAGAAAGGGUUACUCUGCCAGCUGAAAGCGUCUGAGCUGCUGGAUUACUUCCUAAAGUGUCCUGGUUCCCCCCUAGCUGGUGUCACAAAUCAGCUCAUGCCAGCUGCUGUCACCAAAGGCCUCAAAAAUAGUAAGUCAGCUCUCUAUUGCGGACAGAGCUCUUUCCUUGGGGAAGAGGGCUGCUGUGCGGCAGUCACUGCAUGGAGGAAACGGCUGAACAUCGGCCAGGUGACCUUGUGAGGCGCAGAGGAAAGACGGAAUUAGCGGAGGGAGGGAGAAGCAAGGCAGAAGGUCAGUAACCACUGUACCAGACUGAUACUGCAACUGUGGUUGGCAGUGAGCCAUUUGCAGAGGGUCUCUUAGAGCAGGGCUGCUCACCCUUAAUGUCUAAGAAGCCCCAUUUGUGCUACCAUAAGGCUACGUGGACCUGCCCGAGGCAGAAGGUGCUGCUGUGGGACAGGGUGAGCGGAGAACAUCACCUGCUUCUCAGAGCAGGUCCUGCUAGGAACACCCUGUUAGCUGCAUCGGGUCUCUUCUCGUGACAAGUAGCCUUACUCUUUCAGCAGCAAUGGUUAUAUCACAAAGCUGUACAAAUUAUUUUUUCUUAUUGAUCUCGCAAUGUCCAAUAAAAAUCGAUAUCCUUAAA